UACGUAGGGACCAAGCGUUGUCCGGAAUCAUUGGGCGUAAAGAGCGUGUAGGCGGCUUGUUAAGUCUUGCGUGAAAUCUCGGGGCUCAACCCCGAGCGGUCGUGAGAAACUGGCAGGCUAGGAGUGCGGGAGAGGAGAGUGGAAUUCCUGGUGUAGCGGUGAAAUGCGCAGAUAUCAGGAAGAACACCCGUGGCGAAGGCGGUUAGCUGGGCAGUUGCUGACACUGAGGCGCGACAGCGUGGGGAGCAAACAGG
rnacentral:rRNA from 1 species